ACCUGCAAACUUUGGAACAUUGCAGUCUACAGUUAAUUAAGUUAAAAUUGACUGGUGCAUCUGUGGAAUUUUAAUAGUUAUCUACUGUCUACAUUAUAAAUUAAUGUUAUGUGCAUCUGUGAUUACUUCACAUUUAUAAUGUCAAAUUUGGUCUCUCAUGUAAACUUGACGCUUGUCGCCAUUUUAUAAUUCAGCGUAUUUACUUGGUUUUUGAUGCGUGUUUUUAGAUCGUUCAACAAAUAAGAGGGAGUUGAAAGUUCAAUUUGGUCGUACUAAAACAACCAUUGUCUACAUGGGUGUGGUCUUUGGUGAACUAUAUUCUUGAUUUGCUGUUUUCGUCUUCACUCUACAUUAUUAUGCA